GCAAGUGGCACAUCCUGAAGAAGGCCAAAGAGAGCCUGGGGUCUAAUUACACAAAGAAGUCUGAUUUCAGGGCAGAAUUCCACAAGUUGGUCCACGAGAUGCUCACCAUCGAGGAGUUCGAGGACGGGUGGGUAGAGUUGCUUGAGAAGUACUCACUGACUAAGAAGACGUACCUGACGCAAAUUUACGAAACAAGGCAGAAAUGGGCCAAACCAUACUUUGCAGGAAAAUUCUGUGCCAGGCAAACCAGUACUGGAAGGAGUGAGAGCGCAAAUCACAUGUUGAAACAAUAUGUUCCACCUUCUUGCUCAAUGAAUCUUUUUGUCAAGCAAUAUAACAAGCUGCAGUUUGACCGUGAACAAGAAGAAGGGUUCCAGGAGAAACGAACCAGGCUGAGUGGAGCUGUCUUGAAGGUCAACACCCCACUAGAAGUGCACGCUAGCAAGAUUUACACCAGGAAGAUGUUUGAGAUUUUUGGAGGAAUAUUGUAUGAAUCCGGAAGCUAUGAUGUAGAAGAGAUCAUACCAAAGCAGAAAUACAUGGUGACCCACGUCAAGGCUGAAAAGCAAGAGAAAUGGUUCAAAUGCCGAUAUGAGGUCAAUGUGUUUGAUAAUCUGGGGUAUUUCUCGUGCAUAUGCGACCUGUUCGAGCACAUGGGUAUGGUCUGCUGUCACUCGCUGCAGGUCAUGAAUGUGCUCCGGCUUAGGGAGAUUCCCCACAGGCACAUCUUGAAGAGGUGGAGCAUACAUGGCAGAGAUAAUUUGCCGGAUCAUCUCAAACAUUACCAACAGGACAUGGGCCCGCCGGACGCACCCACUUAUAGACAUUCUGCUUUGUACAUCACUGCCCUGGAGGUGGUUAAAAUGGGCGACAUAAACCAAGAAGCAUGCAAAUUCAUGUUGGAUGGAUUGGUGGAUCUUAGGGAGAGAGGAGCUGAGAUUAGCGCACCAAAUGAUGGCCUAGGCAUCGUUGAGCAGCAGGUCUCGAACAAUGGAGUUGCGGGUGGUUGCAGCAAGAAAACCAAGACUUGUAAGGCGGCGUGCUCUGUAAGAAGUGUUGAAGGGAAUCACAUAACGGCCAUAGGAGAAACAUCGGUGUCGGUUCAUCCACCAGCAAACCAAGGCGAGGGGGCACCGACGUCCAAAGACAUGGCAUCAGAAGGAUCCUGUCCAAAUGCAGAUAGCUACAAUUCAGACUUUUCUGAGGCUGCAUCCAGGUUUACUGUCAAUCUGGAUGAGAGUCUGCUUGCACCAGAAAGGAAAAAGAAACGUGGCCGGCCAACAACAAGCAGGGACAAGGCUCCAUAUGAGAAGGGAAGCAACAAAAGAUCAAGGUUUUGUUCAAUCUGUAGGGGCAAAGGCCACAAGUCAAGCACCUGCCCCGACCGUGGUGACGCCCCUAGAAAAGAAAGGAAAGUGGGCACAUGCAGCAAGUGUGGAGUGCCUGGGCAUAGGAAAACAACAUGCAGCAAGCCGCUCUUGUCCUCGAUGGCCGGUGUUCCUCCAUCUCAUUAGUUUUUCCAAAAUGUUUGUCUGAACUUCUCGUCCCCUGUAUUUGGCUAUUGUAUUAAUAAAAGUUCUCGAACGUUGUUGACUUCAAAAUGCAUCUCGGUAGGUGCCAUGUUUUUCUGUAC
rnacentral:rRNA from 1 species